rnacentral:rRNA from 1 species
AUUGAACGCUGGCGGCAGGCCUAACACAUGCAAGUCGAGCGGAGCGGCGGACGGGUGAGUAAUGACUAGGAAUCUGCCUGGUAGUGGGGGAUAACGUACGGAAACGGGCGCUAAUCCCGCAUACUAUCAGCUGAGCCUAGGUCGGAUAAGCUAGUUGGUUGGGUAAAGGCCUACCAAGGCGACGAUCCGUAACUGGUCUGAGAGGAUGAUCAGUAAAACUGGAACGGGAACAGGGUCCGAACUCCUAGGGAAGGCAGCAGUGGGGAAUAUUGGAAAAGGGGCGAAAGCCUGAUCAAGACAUGCCGCGGGUGUGAAGAGGGUCGUCGGAUUUUAAGGUACGUUAAGUUGGGAGACGUUACCAACAGAGUAAGCACCGGCUAACUUCGUGCCAGCAGCCGCGGUAAUAC